rnacentral:rRNA from 1 species
AGAGUUUGAUCAUGGCUCAGGACGAACGCUGGCGGCGUGCCUAACACAUGCAAGUCGAACGAAGAUAUUAAUGAAGCUUGCGAUUUGAUAUCUUAGUGGCGGACGGGUGAGUAACGCGUGGGUAAUCUGCCCAUAAGUGGGGGACAACAGUUGGAAACGACUGCUAAUACCGCAUAUACUGAGCAAUCAGCAAAGGAGGCCUCUUAACAAUGCUUCCGCUUAUGGAUGAGCCCGCGUCUGAUUAGCUAGUUGGUGGGGCAACGGCCUACCAAGGCGACGAUCAGUAGCCGGCCUGAGAGGGUGAACGGCCACACUGGGACUGAGACACGGCCCAGACUCCUACGGGAGGCAGCAGUGGGGAAUAUUGCGCAAUGGGGGAAACCCUGACGCAGCGACGCCGCGUGAGCGAUGAAGGCCUUAGGGUUGUAAAGCUCUGUUUUAGGGGACGAAUGUCUAGAUCAGUAAUAUGGGUUUAGAAUGACGGUACCCUAAGAGGAAGCCCCGGCUAACUACGUGCCAGCAGCCGCGGUAAGACGUAGGGGGCGAGCGUUGUCCGGAAUUACUGGGCGUAAAGAGCACGUAGGCGGAGACUUAAGUCAGGUGUGAAAGACCGGGGCUCAACCCCGGGGUGGCACUUGAAACUGGGUCCCUUGAGGGCAGGAGAGGGCAGUAGAAUUCCUGGUGUAGCGGUGAAAUGCGUAGAAAUCAGGAGGAAUACCAGUGGCGAAGGCGACUGCCUGGACUGACCCUGACGCUGAGGUGCGAAAGCGUGGGUAGCAAACAGGAUUAGAUACCCUGGUAGUCCACGCCGUAAACGACGGAUACUAGG